rnacentral:lncRNA from 1 species
CACUUUUAUGUGACAUGUAGUUAUAGCUGCCUCCGUAUGUCAUAUUUUCUGUGCUCUGGUAUGUUCCCAGAUGCAAACCCAGGAAGGCCAUUCACGACGUUGUGACAGAAGAAGUGGAGGUCAGUACCACUGCCAUCAUGGCUGCAAGCACAGCACAUGGACAGAGCUCGCAGAGUGGAUCCAGAGCCUGCCUGGGCCCCGUUCUCACUGCCCCUCCACUCCCUGGUCUGCCGAGAGCUGGAGCUAUGGACCAGAAGCACUGGGCCUUUGCAUGUCGGAACAUGAGCAGUGCUGCACCAGGACCUGCUAUACCCGAGGCUGAUGCAGACGGUGUGGAUUUUAUUGCUGUGCCGAAAAGUUCCCUGUGCUCAUGGAUGCUGGCCACCCCUUCCACUACACACAUAGUAAUCAUAAUUAUCUUAAAGUCCUUGGCUGAGGUUUUCAUCAUUUGGGCCAUCUCUAUAUCUGAUUCUAUUGAUUUACUUGUCUCUUGAUUGUGGGUUAUUAUUACUAUUCUGCUUUUUUUGUGUGUAUGAUUUUUUUAAUUCAAUGCUGAACAUCAUUUGGAAACCAGGGAUGACUGAAGUAUGUA